AACCAUGUCCACGGCGCCCGCCAUUCUGUAGCCUAUGCUCGGAGGGCACAUGAGCAAGAGCUUGACCAUCUGUACCGUUGGUUGACUUGCUCUAUUAAGGGCUAUGAUUUCAGGUCGUCCUGCGUGUUUAGAGGAGGCGAGUGGAAUCUUGAGUCUCGGCUGGAGAAGGCAGAGCACGGGCAUGCAGACCUCAAAGCCUCAAACCUGCGUGUGAGAGGAGAAGUUGGCGAGCUCCAGCGUAUGGUCCACGGAGUCUUGCCCUGUUGCCCAGGCUGGAGUACAGUGGCGCGAUCUCAGCUCACGGCAACCUCCGCCUUCCGUGUUCAAGGGAUUCCCCUGCCUCAGCCUCCUAGUAGCUGGAAUUAAAGGCACCUACCACCACGCCCGUCUAAUUUUUGUAUUUUUAGUAGAGAUGGGGUUUCACCAUGUUGCCCAGGCUGGUCUUGAACUCCUGACCUCAAGUGAUCUCCCUGCCUCAGUCUCUCAAAGUGCUGGAAUUACAGGCAUGAGCCACCACGCCCAGCCAACUCUCACCACUUCUAUUUGAUACAUGCUGGAGGUUCUAGCCAGGGCAACUAGGCAAAUAAAUGAAAUAAGAGACAUCCAUAUGGAAAUGAAGAAGUACAAUGAAGAAGUAAAGCUAUAUUUGCAGAUAUGAUUUUAUAU
rnacentral:lncRNA from 1 species